ACGACGAAGCAGAAGACGGAGACGAAGAAGCAGAAGCGCGCGCGUUCGGGGUUCUGGACAUGGGUCGUCGCGUCGGUCGCAUUCCGGCUCGCCCUCGUCUAUCUCCCAGGAACCUCCGCCUAUCCACCCGCCCCGAGGUCGCCACCCCUCUCACCAGCAUUCGCCGCCGUAACGCCAGAAUGAUGGUGGCGAGGGACGACUUCGUGGAGGCGGACAACGCGGAGGCCAUCAUCUCCAGGAUCGAGCACAAGUCCCGCAAGAUCGAGAGCUUGCUCAAGCAGUCGAAGCUGGUGGAUGCUCUCAAGACCGCCCUCGAAGGCCUUUCUCUCUCCACUCAAUGGCCUCAUCUCAUCUCAGGGCUCCAUUCUCUCGGCGACUCCUUCCUAAAUCGCGCUCUCUCCCGACGACCAAUUUCGCUCGCCUCUCUCACGACCUCCUCGCUUUUGGCGGUUCUUCCCUCGCGGUUCGGUGAGGUCUCGGGUAUGCUCUCGUGCUGCGUCUCUUCUUCCUUGCUCAGCAACACCGUACUGCCUCUCUCUCUGAGUGUGACUCUCUGUGCAUUCUUUCAUCCAUGAGGCAAGCAUUUCGACUAGGGUUCAGGGGUUUCGCCUGAACCCUAGUCGAAAUGCUUGCAAGGGAGAUUAUUGAGCAGGGAAGUGAAUAUUACUGAUGGAAAACCAUGAGGUCUUGAGAAUUUGCCUUCAACAAAGAGCAAGGUCUUGAGAAUCUGCUUCGUUUGGGUCAAGAUGGCGGGGCUUUGCAGCCGCACAAAUCCGCGGUCUCACGCUAUAUGGUCCGGGCUUGUAGCUCCAUCGACGGCAGAAGUAAGGUCUACAGAGAACUCGAAAAAUUCUGGUGCAAGCAUCGGUGAAGUCGUGUUGCCUAAUAAUGACCCGGCCAAAAUUGAGGCAAUGACAUUUCACGAACUAUGUAGCCCUUUUGUUUUUUGAUAAAGCUAUCUAGACUUUUGUUCUGGAGUCAUUAUUCACCAUAUCAUGGAUCAAUUCUACAACCUAUAAAGGAACUUGAAAAGUCGAAGCCCGUGAUUUUGACUGGCGAUCUGAAUUGUGCCCAUCAAGAAAUAGACAUUUAUGAUCCUGCGGGAAAUAAAAGAAGUGCUAAAUUUACAAUUGAAGAAGGGGAAUCUUUUGAGACCAACUUCCUGUUGAGGGGCUUUGUUGAUACCUUUAGAAGACAGUAUCCUCAUGCUGUUGGUUAUACUUAUUGGGGUUAUCGGCAUGGUGGGAGGAAGACAAAUAAAGGGUGGCGGCUCGAUUAUUUUCUUGUUUCAGAAUCUAUAGCAGACAAAGUUCAUGACUCGUACAUCCUUCCUAAUAUCACCGGUAGUGAUCAUAGUCCUAUUGGCCUGGUUCUCAAGCUUUAGUUCUGUCAUCUCUUUUAGGAUCUUGGUGAGUGGAUUCUGUGAAGGUAGUCUGGCAGCAUCAUCCUAGAUGCUAUUUGCUGAAAAGUAUUGAGCUUUUAUUGUCAUUGUCAUUCAUGUUGAAGCCACUAGCAAGGGAAAGUUUUUUUGAUGAAAUUUGCUUAGCAAAGGAGGCAAAGAAAAGAAGGACGAGACGAGGGGGCUGACUGUAUUUACUUUGUCUGGGCCCUGUGGAGUGAUCUGGGUUUUUCUAGGUUAUUUUACAAGGCAUCUUUUGGAGGAAGAGUUAUGAUGGAACAUUGAAAUCACUUUCGAAAAAAUCUGUGCAAGUUUUUGAACAUACAUUCUGAUGCUGAAGUUGGUAGGGGAAAAAUGCUGAAAUACUGAGUGCAAAUUGUAGGUACAACCGUUCUGGUUCGCAAUUCAAUCUGAUUAUCUGGUGGAUGUUUUUUUUUUCAUUUAAAAGGAAGUCUGGAAAGACAGUUGUCUACAACCGUCUGCUGCUCAAGUCUUUUAAGGAGUAAGGCUGGGCGUACAAUGACUUAUCAUGCUUGCGUCUUGUUUUUAGAGAACCUCAAAGGAGCACGUAUCAGCAAUAUGUCAUUUUUGGCUCUUGAAUUUUGUACAUGAUGAACGUGGUAGACUUGAAGAUGGUGAUGUUCCCAUAAUUAGGUGCGAAAAGUUGGCAAUGUUUUAGACAAAUGUAAUUAGCGAGUUUCAUUUAUUUAUGGAAUCCUCCAGCUGCACAAGUGUAUUACUGUUUGCUUGAUUCCUUGACAACUACGAAGGCUCCUAGAAUUUGUCUUUGCAUGAUAAGGGAAAUUUGCUUGGAAUUGUUAUGUUGGUUAUACCAGGAA